rnacentral:rRNA from 1 species
AUGGCUGCGCGUGCAUACGACAUUGCCGCGUGGCAUUUCGGCUGGCCGAGGCACGAGAUGAACGUUCCAGAGAUCAAAACUCAGGUAGACACAGAGUUAAUUGGGCCGAAGAAUCUUAACACUCGGCGGAUGGAUGAGAAGAAGGAGGAGGAGGAGGAGAAGAAGAAGUCGGCGAUUCUCGUUGCUCCCGCGAUAGUGAUGACACAACGAUUUCGAGGUUCGCGUGGGAGCAUCUGGAGUAUGUCCAGGCCGAGCGUGAGUUCUUCCAAAAACACAAGGCCGAGCAGAAGAAGAAGGCGAUGA